UAAUACGUAGGCAGCAAACGUUGUUCGGAGUUACUGGGCGUAAAGAGUGCGUAGGCGGUUCGCCAAGUUCGGUGUGAAAUCUCCCGGCUUAACUGGGAGGGUGCGCCGAAAACUGGCGGGCUUGAGUGUGGGAGAGGGAAGCGGAAUUCCUGGUGUAGCGGUGAAAUGCGUAGAUAUCAGGAGGAACACCGGUGGUGUAGACGGCUUCCUGGACCACAACUGACGCUGAGGCACGAAAGCGUGGGUAGCAAACAGGAUUAGAUACCCUGGUAGUCCACGCCCUAAACGAUGCAAACUUGGUGUAGGCAGUUCAGUCUGUCUGUGCCGGAGCUAACGCGUUAAGUUUGCCGCCUGGGGAGUACGGUCGCAAGGCUGAAACUUAAAUGAAUUGACGG
rnacentral:rRNA from 1 species